GUGGGUAUAGUUCAGUGGUAGAGUACAUGCUUAGCAUGCAUGAGGUCCUGGGUUCAGUCCCCAGUACCUUCA
rnacentral:tRNA from 1 species